rnacentral:miRNA from 1 species
ACUUAAAACUAGGUGGCACUUUUUAAAGUUAAAAAAAAAAGUGCCCCCAUAGUUUGAGUA